UAUGCUACCACUACUAUAAGCAUGCUACUACAAGCAUAGUCUUACCCAAGGUAUUUACCCAGAAUAUUGAUUACGUUAACUAAAGGUAUUUAUCAUCCCACUACUGUAAGCAUAUUUACCCAACAUAUUUAUUAUAUUAACUAAAGGUAUUUAUCUCCCCACUACUAUAAGCUACCACUACUAUUAGUUAGUGUUAACAGUCACGACGAUCCCGUUCCCGACAAUUCCCAUUCGCAACGAUCUCAACGAUUUCGACGAUUCCCAUUCGCGACGAUCUCAAUGAUUCCGAUUCCCAUUGGCAACGAUCUCGACGAUUCUGAAUCCCAUUGGUGACGAUCCUCAACGAUUCCGAUUCCCAUUCACGACGCUGAUUCCCAUUCGCGACGAUCCUCCCUUCGUCGUGGCCUUUGUUCGGAAUCGCUUUCAAGGCAGAAGAAUGCAACUUCCAUUUUUUGGUCCCGCUUUGUAGCUCUUUAAAAAUGAUCAAGGACUAGUGGGAAGACAAGGAUUGGAAUCAACAGAAAAUAUUCUCAAAGUGCAAGCGGAUCAUUGUCAAGAUCCUAAUGCAAUUCCCCUAACAUAAGAGGAGAUCUCAAACUUGGUUUUUAAGAAAAAGUCUGGUAUUGUAAAAGGACUGGGCAUGAGACCUUCAUCUUCUCUAGUAACCACCGCCUCAUCUAAUUCCUCGGUGGAGUAUAUCCAACGGUUAGAAAAUAAGAUAAUUGAGCUCAAAGAGGCAAGAGUUAGGGACCAAGAGGAGCGAGUUAAGGACCAAAAGGAGCGAGCUAGGGACCAAGAGGCGCGAGCUAAGCAAGAAGAGGUCCAAAAGAAUAUUCUUAACUUUUUGAGGAGUAAGGGAUGCUCUUACCUAUGGGGGUGGUUCAACUUCAAGUUAAACCACUAUUUGGUUAGUACUUUAUUUUAGUAAUUGACCCAACUUCAAGUUAUAACAUAGUUAAUGUUUUUACUUUACGAUUUUAA